GUGCUUGUUUCUGCAGCAUAUAUUAAAAAAUUGGAUCCAUGCAGAGGUUAGCAUGAGCCCUGCCAAGGAUGACACACAAAUUUGUGAAGCAGUCCCUACUUUU
ensembl:snRNA U6 U6 spliceosomal RNA